GUCACCGGACGCUCUUAAAGGGGCACCGGACGCUCAACACCAGUGUCCGGUGCUCCAACGUCAGCCGCGUGUCAGAGUCUAACGGUAACCUGCAGAGCACCGGACGCUGAGCAGGUUAGCACCGGACGCGUCCGGUGCACACCGGACCCGUGCGCAGAGAGCUCCGCAAACUCGCAGGGUCACCGGACGCAAGCCACCGGACGCACCCAGAGCGUCCGGUGCUCAC
rnacentral:lncRNA from 1 species